rnacentral:rRNA from 1 species
GUGAUGCCCUUAGAUGUUCUGGGCUGCACGCGCGCUACAAUGAUAGGCUCAACGAGUAUUUAUAUUUAUUUAUAUCGCUGUACCGGAAGGUAUGGCUAAUCUUAAAAGCUUAUCGUGCUUGGGAUAGAUGAUUGCAAUUAUUUAUCUUGAACCAGGAAUUCCUAGUAAUCGUAUAUCAUCAGUGUGCGAUGAUUACGUCCCUGCCCCUUGUACACACCGCCCGUCGCUGCUACCGAUUGGAUGGUCCGGUGAAAUCCUCGGAUAGCGAUGAAUACUUUGACUUCGUGUUAAAGUUCAUUGCUAGAAGUUGAUUAAACCUUAUCAUCUAGAGGAAGCAAAAGUCGUAACAAGGUUUCCGUAGGAACCUGCGGAAGGAUCAUU